rnacentral:rRNA from 1 species
AUGGUGCCCAACAAAACUGUUAGGUCUAGGAGUAGCUUAUAUGAUGGCGAUGUGAUUCUUUUCACCAAUCCAGUUAAGCAGGAGAUAGAUGCCCUAAUAAAGAUCCUUCCCAGGUUCGGCGAUGCAACAAGACUCAAAAUCAACCUCGACAAAUCCUCUAUAGUUGCGAUCCAGUGCGAUGGCAUCAACUUGCACGAUGUGCUUCAGAGCUUCGAUGGACAGCUAGUGAAUUUCUCAAUUAGGUACCUAGGUCUACCCGUCACCAUCUCCAGGCUUAGGGGUGUUCAUCCGAUAUUCAUCCUGGAAUGUAUCCGCGUGCGAUUAACUGGGUGGAAGGGCCAUCUACUUUCCUUGGCAGGCAGACGGGUGCUGGUCCGCUCUGUGCUCACGGCCAUGCCAACUUUCGCCCUCUCGGUACUGCGGGCACCGGCCAAGUUCUUCAAAGACAUUGAAAAAUCGCAUCGUCGCUUCCUUUGGGCUGGCGACAAGGAGCUCAAUGGUGGCCACUACAAGGUUAGCUUGAAGCUUGUCUGCUCCCCAAUUCAGCACGGCAGGCUCAAAAUUCGGAACCUGCAGAAGUUCAGUAGGGCCUUCUGA